UAAAAGAGAAGAAGAAGAAAUGUGUUUCACAAGGAAUAAAAGAGAAGAAGAAGACCGUGUUAAAAGAUGAAAAAGAAAGAGAGAAAGCAACAUUUUAAUAGAGGAAAAGAGAAGAAGAAGAUCAAGUUAGAUACAGGUUUUUUAAUUGCCAUUACUCUUUGAGUUUAGUUGAGUUGAGAUGAGUAGACAUCUAUCUAACUUAUUUAUUACUACCACACAGUCCUAAUGGAACCCUAAAAGCAGCAUUCAUCUAAGCAAUUACUACCACACAGUCCUAACUCUAACAAGCAUUUAAUUAACCUAACAACUAGCCAGACCAAAGCAAUUAGUAAAAAGUAAGCGAAUGAGGAGCUGUACUAACCUCACUGACAGUCUUGUGUAGUGGUUGCUUCUUGAAGUUACAGGAGGAGGAGCUUCAGUCGAGAGGUCAAAGCCUCUAAGGCAACAGGAGUCCAUAGAAUGACAAAAGUCCCUGCCAUAAUUAACAACACAAACUGUAAUCAACACAAACUAUAAUUAAUCUUUCAAUCAACACAAACUGUAAU
rnacentral:lncRNA from 1 species